AUCGCUUCUUGGUCUUUUAGCUAAAAUUAACUGUGCUAUUUGUUCUUGUCAGUUUAGUAUCUGACCUGGUAAUUAUGAAGACGCUGUAUUCAAUGGGUCUUUGAAGUAGGGAGUUGAGAUGGGAGGUUGCACCGUGUAUUACAGCGUAUUCGUCUGGUAUUGCGGUCUUGCCGGGAAAGGCGCCUUUUG